rnacentral:rRNA from 1 species
CCUACGGGAGGCUGCAGUGAGGAAUAUUGGUCAAUGGCCGGAAGGCUGAACCAGCCAUGCCGCGUGAAGGUAAGUGCCCUAUGGGCGUUAAACUUCUUUUGUGCGGGAGCAAUAAUGGUCACGUGUGGCCAGACGAGAGUACCGUACGAAUAAGCAUCGGCUAACGCCGUGCCAGCAGCUGCGGUAAUACGGGGGAUGCAAGCGUUAUCCGGGUUUAUUGGGUUUAAAGGGUGCGUAGGCUGUGAGGUAAGUCAGCGGGGAAAUGCCCCCGCUCAACGGGGUGAAGUGCCAUUGAUACUGCCUUGCUGGAAUGCGGAUGCCGUGGGAGGAAUGUGUGGUGUAGCGGUGAAAUGCAUAGAUAUCACACAGAACACCGAUUGCGAAGGCAUCUCACGAAUCCGCGAUUGACGCUGAUGCACGAAAGCGUGGGUAUCAAACAGGAUUAGAUACCCUUGUAGUC